rnacentral:rRNA from 1 species
GUGAACGCUAAUGAUAUGCUUUAUACAUGCGAGUUUAAAUUAACAUUAUUAUAUGUUUAAUAGCGUACGGGUGAGUAACACAUAAGAAUAUACUUUAUAUUUUGGAAAUUAAAGUCCAAUAAAAAGAAUAGUGUAUUAAAAAUAUUAUAUUCUUUUAAAAUUAAAAUUGGUAUAAAACUAGCUUAUGUAGAAUUAGAUAGUUGGUGUGGUAAUGGCACACCAAGUCAAUGAUUCUUAAUUGGUCUUAGCGGAUGAUCAAUCACAUUGGGACUGAAACAUGGCCCAGGCUCUUUUUUGAGGCAGCAGUAAGGAAUAUUGGACAAUGAACGAAAGUUUGAUCCAGCAAUAUCACGUGAAUGAUGAAGGUUUAUUUUAUUGUAAAGUUCUUUCAACAAGGAGGAUAAUGACGUUACUUGUAGAAGAAGUCCCGACUAACCUCGU